rnacentral:rRNA from 1 species
UACGGGGGGAGCAAGCGUUGUUCGGAUUUAUUGGGCGUAAAGAGCUCGUAGGCGGCUUGUCGCGUCGACUGUGAAAACCCGCGGCUCAACUGCGGGCCUGCAGCCGAUACGGGCAGGCUAGAGUUCGGUAGGGGAGACUGGAAUUCCUGGUGUAGCGGUGAAAUGCGCAGAUAUCAGGAGGAACACCAGCGGCGAAGGCGGCGCUCUGGGCCGGAACUGACGCUGAGGAGCGAAAGCGUGGGUAGCAAACAGG